CCUGAUGCAGCCAUGCCGCGUGUGUGAAGAAGGCCUUCGGGUUGUAAAGCACUUUCAGCGAGGAGGAAGGGAUAGGCGUUAAUAGCGGCUAUUUUUGACGUUACUCGCAGAAGAAGCACCGGCUAACUUCGUGCCAGCAGCCGCGGUAAUACGAAGGGUGCAAGCGUUACUCGGAAUUACUGGGCGUAAAGCGUGCGCAGGCGGUUUUGUAAGUCUGACGUGAAAGCCCCGGGCUCAACCUGGGAAUUGCGUUGGAGACUGCAAGGCUUGAAUCUGGCAGAGGGGGGUAGAAUUCCACGUGUAGCAGUGAAAUGCGUAGAGAUCGGGAGGAACAUCCGUGGCGAAGGCGGCUACCUGGACCAACACUGACACUGAGGCACGAAAGCGUGGGGAGCAAACAGGAUUAGAUACCCUGGUAGUCCACGCCCUAAACGAUGCGAACUGGAUGUUGGGUGCAAUUUGGCACGCAGUAUCGAAGCUAACGCGUUAAGUUCGCCGCCUGGGGAGUACGGUCGCAAGACUGAAACUCAAAGGAAUUGACGGGGGCCCGCACAAGCG
rnacentral:rRNA from 1 species